rnacentral:rRNA from 1 species
AUUGAACGCUGGCGGCAGGCCUAACACAUGCAAGUCGAGCGGUAGCACAGAGAGCUUGCUCUCGGGUGACGAGCGGCGGACGGGUGAGUAAUGUCUGGGAAACUGCCUGAUGGAGGGGGAUAACUACUGGAAACGGUAGCUAAUACCGCAUAACGUCGCAAGACCAAAGUGGGGGACCUUCGGGCCUCAUGCCAUCAGAUGUGCCCAGAUGGGAUUAGCUGGUAGGUGGGGUAACGGCUCACCUAGGCGACGAUCCCUAGCUGGUCUGAGAGGAUGACCAGCCACACUGGAACUGAGACACGGUCCAGACUCCUACGGGAGGCAGCAGUGGGGAAUAUUGCACAAUGGGCGCAAGCCUGAUGCAGCCAUGCCGCGUGUGUGAAGAAGGCCUUCGGGUUGUAAAGCACUUUCAGCGGGGAGGAAGGCGGUGAGGUUAAUAACCUCAUCGAUUGACGUUACCCGCAGAAGAAGCACCGGCUAACUCCGUGCCAGCAGCCGCGGUAAUACGGAGGGUGCAAGCGUUAAUCGGAAUUACUGGGCGUAAAGCGCACGCAGGCGGUCUGUCAAGUCGGAUGUGAAAUCCCCGGGCUCAACCUGGGAACUGCAUUCGAAACUGGCAGGCUAGAGUCUUGUAGAGGGGGGUAGAAUUCCAGGUGUAGCGGUGAAAUGCGUAGAGAUCUGGAGGAAUACCGGUGGCGAAGGCGGCCCCCUGGACAAAGACUGACGCUCAGGUGCGAAAGCGUGGGGAGCAAACAGGAUUAGAUACCCUGGUAGUCCACGCUGUAAACGAUGUCGAUUUGGAGGUUGUGCCCUUGAGGCGUGGCUUCCGGAGCUAACGCGUUAAAUCGACCGCCUGGGGAGUACGGCCGCAAGGUUAAAACUCAAAUGAAUUGACGGGGGCCCGCACAAGCGGUGGAGCAUGUGGUUUAAUUCGAUGCAACGCGAAGAACCUUACCUGGUCUUGACAUCCACAGAACUUUCCAGAGAUGGAUUGGUGCCUUCGGGAACUGUGAGACAGGUGCUGCAUGGCUGUCGUCAGCUCGUGUUGUGAAAUGUUGGGUUAAGUCCCGCAACGAGCGCAACCCUUAUCCUUUGUUGCCAGCGGUCCGGCCGGGAACUCAAAGGAGACUGCCAGUGAUAAACUGGAGGAAGGUGGGGAUGACGUCAAGUCAUCAUGGCCCUUACGACCAGGGCUACACACGUGCUACAAUGGCAUAUACAAAGAGAAGCGACCUCGCGAGAGCAAGCGGACCUCAUAAAGUAUGUCGUAGUCCGGAUUGGAGUCUGCAACUCGACUCCAUGAAGUCGGAAUCGCUAGUAAUCGUAGAUCAGAAUGCUACGGUGAAUACGUUCCCGGGCCUUGUACACACCGCCCGUCACACCAUGGGAGUGGGUUGCAAAAGAAGUAGGUAGCUUAACCUUCGGGAGGGCGCUUACCACUUUGUGAUUCAUGACUGGGGUGA